UAGCCACUCACUCUGUAAGACCCGUAUUUUUUUGGACAUGGUGGGGACAUGGUGGUCACCCACCUCUUUGACUAUCAAGAUGCAAUUAUUGGGGGUGCAUUUUACGGGAAGCUUUGCAAGGUGUGGGAUUCAUUUUUUGGCAGGAGAGGGAGAGAGAGAGGGAGAGCAACCAAAGGGAGGGAACCCUUUCUCCCAUUUUCACCCGUCCAAAGAGCACCCAUGGGAAGCUGUUCCAACCUUGGAAGGGGCUUAGAGGAGGAACUGAGUUGGGCAUCUGGUGAUGAUGGAGUUCUUGCAUCAAGAACUGGAAAAGGAAGUGAAGAGCUGCUGAAGUUCCUGGAAGAUCUUGAUCUGCACGUCUGGGAGGAGAUUGAUCCCAAAACUUACAUGGAAGUCUUCAAGAGGUAAGGGGAGUUGGAUUUUCUGGAUGUUGAUAGUGGUUGCAUGAGUAGGAUGCUGGAAAAUUGUGGUUGUAUGUAUGGUUGGAUUGAAAUUGAUGUGUUGAUUCAUGUAUGAAAUCUUGUAUGCUUUGGAAUUGAAAGAAAUUGGAAUUUCAUAGCUUUUAGUCAUUUGGAGAGGAAGUGAGGUAGUGAUUUUGAGCAUUUGGGGUCUAGAGUGUUAUUGAGCCUUUGGAACAGUUUCACCCACUGUAUUAUGACUUGUUAGAGUCAUCAUAUUGAUCAAAACAGGUGCAAAAUGGUUGCUGUCAACUGGUAUGGGGCUGGACGACUUCUGGUUCGCGCCCGGCGCCCCCGGUGGCGCCCAGGCGCGAGAGUCUCGCAGAAAGUCGCGCCCAAGCGCCCCUUGUUGGCGCCCGGGCGCGAGGUGUUCGAAAAAAGUGACUUUGUCUUUGUUUUUGAUAGUUUUUGGGGUUCCGGGUGUCCGUUUUGGACGUUUCUUAAGUCGUUUUAGAGGUUUUGGACCCUUCCGGAACUGUUGGUGAUGGUUUCAAAGCCAUUUUCUUUGCCUAAGUAUGAGUUACGGGGAUUUGUAUUGUUUAGUGGUUCUCUUGAGACUGUUAUUGUUUAGUAAUGUGUAUUAGAUUGAUUAAUGUUGUUUGCUUAACAGAUUUUUAUGCAUGUGGAAUGUUGGAAUGCAUAGUAUGAUAUGAUUUAUGUGGGAAGUAUGUAAAUGUAUGAGGUAUGUUGGAUUUGUUGUGAUAAUUAUGAGCGUUCGGCUUUUGGGGUAUAACGAGCGUUCGGUUUUUGAGUAUAAGUGAACGUUCGGUUUUUGGAUAUAAGGGAGCGUUCGGUUUUAAGUGUUCGGUGUGGAUCUUGGACGUUCGUCCUUUGUUUCAGUGAGCGUUCGUCCUUGUUUUCUGGGAGCGUUCGUCCUUGUUUUCUGGGAGCGUUCGUCCUUUGUUUUGGGAGCGUUCGUCCUUGAUUUUGAGAGCGUUCGUCCUUGGUUUUAUGAGCGUUCGUCCUGGGAGCUCGGCAGCGUUCGGUUUUGAUGAGGAUUGAUUUCAGGACGUUCGUUCAGACAGCAUCAGAGUUGGAAAUAGCGUUCGGUAAUAAUGCAUGAAUCCAUGGGAGUAUUUUGAAGCAAUUAUUGAGAAUUGUUGGUUAUUUUCCUUGAUCCAAUAUUGGUUUAGUUAUACAUAUUAUUGAGAAUAUGUAUGACUUCGUGAUUGAGCACGUUUAUUCUAUUGGUUUAGUUAUACAUAUUAUUGAGAAUAUGUAUGACUUCGUGAUUGAGCACGUAUAUUCUAGUUAUACAUAUUAUUGAGAAUAUGUAUGACUUCGUGAUUGAGCACGUUUAUUCGGUUGGAGGUGGUACAUACACUAUGUUAUUUACUUGUAACUUCGUCGGUCUUUUUAGCAUUUUUGCUAGUCUCACGCGUGAGACGGAGAUUCGAGUGUCACCUUCUUCUGCGCGAGGAGGUGAAUGUCUCGCCCACUGACUUCGGCUCGUGUUGAGUAUAGUGCAUCGUUACGCGUAGUAUCGAUGUUUUUACUCGUUAGUCCUUGAGGAGUCGGGGAGAUAGGUCUGAAGUCGCGAUGGAUGACGGCUCGAGUCGCCUGUUAUUGAGAGCAGGUUAUGACGACGAAUUACAAGUAAACGACAUCAGUUUAUGAAAGACUAGUAUGCAGUGUCAUGUGAGUCGAUUUAUCAUGGGAAUUAUUAUAGUAUAUGUAGUGGGUUUAUAAUGUGAUAAUUCUGGUUAUUCAUUCUUGCAUGUUGUGGCUGUGGUUUCUAACCGUGAUGGUCGUACGGAUACAGGAGAGAUGGUAGUGCAGAUAAAGUUGGAUUUGGAAUACUUCGAGAGAGAGACGGGAAUUAAACUUGUUGGAUCUAUAGGUAGUAACGAGCGUUCUUACUAGUGACGUUCGGUCUUGGUGUUAUUUAUUUCCAGGUAGCGAGUGUUAUUAGGUAACAGUUGAUCUUGAUGUUAGUGGAUCUGAGGUAGCUAGCGUCCGAUCUUAAUUUGGUAACCUGAGGUUUAGUUUGAUUACGUUCGGUCAGUACUGAGGUGUUCAGCAGAGUACUCUAGGCGUUUAACCCAGACUCAAGCGUUCUUUAUUAUAGUGUUCUGUCUCGUAGCGAUGGUUCAUAGGGGAUGAUCUUUAUUGGUGAUGUUGCUCUGAGGUUGUAAUCAUUUAUAGGGAGUGACCAGCCUUGAUAGUCGUUGAGGUAACGAUUAAUUAAUAAAUAGUGAUUAGUUGUGAUGAUGCAUGAUUCAGGAAGUGAUCAUUCAUAGGUAAUGCUCGGGUCGGAUGAUGAUUGUCUCAGGUAGGGAUCAUUAAUAGUUAGUGGUUGUACGUAGGGAACAUCUGGUCUCGAUGAGGUUACCCUCAGAUAGAAUUAAAUCCAGUAAAGUGAUCAAUAAAGUGUUCGUCUGAAUGGUACUUAAUCUGUGGUGUGCGAGAUUUGAUCUUUGAGCAAUAGUUCGAAUAGUGUUUGAAAUAAUAGUAAUUGUUCUAGCAGAGUACACUGUUUUAACGUGAAGUCUAAGUACUUGAUCUUAAUCAGCGUUUGAUCUUUUGGUAUUCGACCUAAUGGUAAUCGGUAUAAUAGCGGUUGAUGUUUAGUUUCGAGCUUAAGUGAUCAAUCUUAAUGUUCGUGUAAACAGUAUUCGAUGUAAUAUAAGUUCGUUGUUUUAUCGUUUGAUUCAGUAAUGAUAUGAUAUCUGGGUAUGUAUUGAGGUUGAGGGUACUGUAGUAGGAUGUCUUGAUUUGUGGUUGAUUGUGGACAUAUUGAGGGGACUAAGAAUGAAAUUACAAGUGGGGCACUUUCCGUUGAUUUGUUCAUCAACGUAUCGUCCGGAUGAGAGUUUAUUGUGUACUGGGUUGAUUAUUAGGUACUAUGGAAUGAGUGUCCAACAGGAAUUGUGGUACGUUGGCUUGAGGAUGUCUGAUUUAAUUAUUAUAUGAUAUUUGUAUUGAAAUAACUAUGCACGUUUUAUAAAUGAUGUGUUUCAGGUUAGCUCACCCUUACUUUGCUUGUUUGUGCAUGUGAAUGCGAUGAUCGUAUAAUGUGUGAUGUUAUACGGGAGCAGUUGAAGGAUUGUCACGUGAUCCUGUGCAAAUGGAGGAAGAGAUGGAAGCUCGAAUUAGAAGGAUUUAAGGUUAUCUUUGCAGUUGCGUCUGAGCUUAAAACUGAUGUAUAGAUUUUAGUUUAUGUUCGGGAUGUUAUGUAUUAUUACAACAUUUAAGUUUUGAAUAUAAAUUUUAAUUUUUAGGGUGAAUUUUUGGGAUGUUACAGUAAUGGUAUCAGAGCAGUUCAUCCUUAGGAUGACCUCUGUGUUGUGGGUUUACCGUGUCUUCGCUGUGAAGAAUUUAGUGUAAAUGGUUUGAUUUACCACUUCCUCCGUGUCUAUAUAGUAAGAUGUGUAUCUAACUAGAUGUUUUGAGAACAGAAAACGUCUUGAUAAGAGUAAUGAGGGUGCACACUCAUGACUUUUACCAUAGACGAUUUUCCUUUCUUGAUUCUGAAGGUUAGAGUUAAGAAAAGGUUAGAGUUUUAGUGGUGUUUCCUGUAGUAAUUCGUGUCUUGUUCUUGCUUUUGUGGUAGUCUUUUGUGCUCGAUAGUAGUAGAGGAAUGCAUAUUCAAGGACAACUUGAGUUGUAUACCUUUAUUAGAAUUGGUUUAAGCCUUUGAGACAAGAUCUUGCCGCGAAGAUAGGAGUUAGAAGACUAAAAGUUAAGCUUCGGAGGGCGAGUGAAGAUAUUGGAGUUUAGGAGUAAGGUUAUGAGUGAUGAAAAUUUCCAGAAAUCAAGUCAUAAGGUCAUAUGUUGUACGUUCGCAAGAAGUUCAGAGGCUAGAUUAAGAGAAGCUUUGGAUAAAUAUGGUUGUAACAAGGUUGGAGAAAUGAGUUGGGUUUAGAAUAUCAGUAACGUUAACAGUCAGAAGAAAAGGACGUGUUGGCGAGAAACGGGGUGACGCUGUGAGAGUUUGGUAACAUGAACCUAUGUAUUAGUGAUGGUUGGAAUCUGAAUAAGAAAAUGGUGGAUGACCUAAAAUUUAAGUUAAGAAAGGAAUAGGAAAUUCUAUAGCAGACUAGGGGAAAUAAGUAUCAAGAAAGGAAGUAGAAGGAGAAAAUUUCGAGAGGUAGUCAGAUAAGGCAGGACAUGAGGUAUUUGAAAGAGAAUGAAGUAUUGUUAGGAUCUUAAGUUAAGUGGGAAAAUUUGAAGGAGAUGAUCAAGUUGUAUCAGCAAGUGGAUGAUUCAGAGUCAAGUUUAGUUGGAUGUUUCAAGAUUAGUAGUUCACACAGAAGAAAGGUUUGAUCAUAGGCUAAGAUGAAAGGUUUCAAACGAUGAAGACAAAGGUAUGUUUUUGUCGAUCAGUGUUUUAAGGCAAGACCUCCUAGAAAAUGAUAGUUGCUUCUUAGUGUUAUCACCCAUGGAAGCGACUCAAGCUGCAGAUCUUGCGGUGCAGGAGAACUCGGAGUGUAAACUUUGCGGUCGUGAAUGACUUCUUAGAUGUUUUCUUGAAGAAGUUUCUUGUUUCCUCCUUCACGAAAGCAUGAAGAUCAUUUUAGGUAAGUGUUUAAGGUUGAGAGUAUGCAAGCCAGAAAGGAUUUGUCAUUUGAAGUGCAACCACUAGGGAUCGAGGACGAACUGUUAAACGAUUUAAGGUCAUCUGGAAUGGUAUCACAGGCAACCCUACCUGGAGGUUAGAGGAUGAGAUGAGAGAAACUUACCUCGACUAGUUCCGAUAAGCUUAAUUUUCGAGGACGAAAAUUUUUGUUGUUGGGGAGAAUGUAAGACCCGUAUUUUUUUGGACAUGGUGGGGACAUGGUGGUCACCCACCUCUUUGACUAUCAAGAUGCAAUUAUUGGGGGUGCAUUUUACGGGAAGCUUUGCAAGGUGUGGGAUUCAUUUUUUGGCAGGAGAGGGAGAGAGAGAGGGAGAGCAACCAAAGGGAGGGAACCCUUUCUCCCAUUUUCACCCGUCCAAAGAGCACCCAUGGGAAGCUGUUCCAACCUUGGAAGGGGCUUAGAGGAGGAACUGAGUUGGGCAUCUGGUGAUGAUGGAGUUCUUGCAUCAAGAACUGGAAAAGGAAGUGAAGAGCUGCUGAAGUUCCUGGAAGAUCUUGAUCUGCACGUCUGGGAGGAGAUUGAUCCCAAAACUUACAUGGAAGUCUUCAAGAGGUAAGGGGAGUUGGAUUUUCUGGAUGUUGAUAGUGGUUGCAUGAGUAGGAUGCUGGAAAAUUGUGGUUGUAUGUAUGGUUGGAUUGAAAUUGAUGUGUUGAUUCAUGUAUGAAAUCUUGUAUGCUUUGGAAUUGAAAGAAAUUGGAAUUUCAUAGCUUUUAGUCAUUUGGAGAGGAAGUGAGGUAGUGAUUUUGAGCAUUUGGGGUCUAGAGUGUUAUUGAGCCUUUGGAACAGUUUCACCCACUGUAUUAUGACUUGUUAGAGUCAUCAUAUUGAUCAAAACAGGUGCAAAAUGGUUGCUGUCAACUGGUAUGGGGCUGGACGACUUCUGGUUCGCGCCCGGCGCCCCCGGUGGCGCCCAGGCGCGAGAGUCUCGCAGAAAGUCGCGCCCAAGCGCCCCUUGUUGGCGCCCGGGCGCGAGGUGUUCGAAAAAAGUGACUUUGUCUUUGUUUUUGAUAGUUUUUGGGGUUCCGGGUGUCCGUUUUGGACGUUUCUUAAGUCGUUUUAGAGGUUUUGGACCCUUCCGGAACUGUUGGUGAUGGUUUCAAAGCCAUUUUCUUUGCCUAAGUAUGAGUUACGGGGAUUUGUAUUGUUUAGUGGUUCUCUUGAGACUGUUAUUGUUUAGUAAUGUGUAUUAGAUUGAUUAAUGUUGUUUGCUUAACAGAUUUUUAUGCAUGUGGAAUGUUGGAAUGCAUAGUAUGAUAUGAUUUAUGUGGGAAGUAUGUAAAUGUAUGAGGUAUGUUGGAUUUGUUGUGAUAAUUAUGAGCGUUCGGCUUUUGGGGUAUAACGAGCGUUCGGUUUUUGAGUAUAAGUGAACGUUCGGUUUUUGGAUAUAAGGGAGCGUUCGGUUUUAAGUGUUCGGUGUGGAUCUUGGACGUUCGUCCUUUGUUUCAGUGAGCGUUCGUCCUUGUUUUCUGGGAGCGUUCGUCCUUGUUUUCUGGGAGCGUUCGUCCUUUGUUUUGGGAGCGUUCGUCCUUGAUUUUGAGAGCGUUCGUCCUUGGUUUUAUGAGCGUUCGUCCUGGGAGCUCGGCAGCGUUCGGUUUUGAUGAGGAUUGAUUUCAGGACGUUCGUUCAGACAGCAUCAGAGUUGGAAAUAGCGUUCGGUAAUAAUGCAUGAAUCCAUGGGAGUAUUUUGAAGCAAUUAUUGAGAAUUGUUGGUUAUUUUCCUUGAUCCAAUAUUGGUUUAGUUAUACAUAUUAUUGAGAAUAUGUAUGACUUCGUGAUUGAGCACGUUUAUUCUAUUGGUUUAGUUAUACAUAUUAUUGAGAAUAUGUAUGACUUCGUGAUUGAGCACGUAUAUUCUAGUUAUACAUAUUAUUGAGAAUAUGUAUGACUUCGUGAUUGAGCACGUUUAUUCGGUUGGAGGUGGUACAUACACUAUGUUAUUUACUUGUAACUUCGUCGGUCUUUUUAGCAUUUUUGCUAGUCUCACGCGUGAGACGGAGAUUCGAGUGUCACCUUCUUCUGCGCGAGGAGGUGAAUGUCUCGCCCACUGACUUCGGCUCGUGUUGAGUAUAGUGCAUCGUUACGCGUAGUAUCGAUGUUUUUACUCGUUAGUCCUUGAGGAGUCGGGGAGAUAGGUCUGAAGUCGCGAUGGAUGACGGCUCGAGUCGCCUGUUAUUGAGAGCAGGUUAUGACGACGAAUUACAAGUAAACGACAUCAGUUUAUGAAAGACUAGUAUGCAGUGUCAUGUGAGUCGAUUUAUCAUGGGAAUUAUUAUAGUAUAUGUAGUGGGUUUAUAAUGUGAUAAUUCUGGUUAUUCAUUCUUGCAUGUUGUGGCUGUGGUUUCUAACCGUGAUGGUCGUACGGAUACAGGAGAGAUGGUAGUGCAGAUAAAGUUGGAUUUGGAAUACUUCGAGAGAGAGACGGGAAUUAAACUUGUUGGAUCUAUAGGUAGUAACGAGCGUUCUUACUAGUGACGUUCGGUCUUGGUGUUAUUUAUUUCCAGGUAGCGAGUGUUAUUAGGUAACAGUUGAUCUUGAUGUUAGUGGAUCUGAGGUAGCUAGCGUCCGAUCUUAAUUUGGUAACCUGAGGUUUAGUUUGAUUACGUUCGGUCAGUACUGAGGUGUUCAGCAGAGUACUCUAGGCGUUUAACCCAGACUCAAGCGUUCUUUAUUAUAGUGUUCUGUCUCGUAGCGAUGGUUCAUAGGGGAUGAUCUUUAUUGGUGAUGUUGCUCUGAGGUUGUAAUCAUUUAUAGGGAGUGACCAGCCUUGAUAGUCGUUGAGGUAACGAUUAAUUAAUAAAUAGUGAUUAGUUGUGAUGAUGCAUGAUUCAGGAAGUGAUCAUUCAUAGGUAAUGCUCGGGUCGGAUGAUGAUUGUCUCAGGUAGGGAUCAUUAAUAGUUAGUGGUUGUACGUAGGGAACAUCUGGUCUCGAUGAGGUUAUCCUCAGAUAGAAUUAAAUCCAGUAAAGUGAUCAAUAAAGUGUUCGUCUGAAUGGUACUUAAUCUGUGGUGUGCGAGAUUUGAUCUUUGAGCAAUAGUUCGAAUAGUGUUUGAAAUAAUAGUAAUUGUUCUAGCAGAGUACACUGUUUUAAUGUGAAGUCUAAGUACUUGAUCUUAAUCAGCGUUUGAUCUUUUGGUAUUCGACCUAAUGGUAAUCGGUAUAAUAGCGGUUGAUGUUUAGUUUCGAGCUUAAGUGAUCAAUCUUAAUGUUCGUGUAAACAGUAUCCGAUGUAAUAUAAGUUCGUUGUUUUAUCGUUUGAUUCAGUAAUGAUAUGAUAUCUGGGUAUGUAUUGAGGUUGAGGGUACUGUAGUAGGAUGUCUUGAUUUGUGGUUGAUUGUGGACAUAUUGAGGGGACUAAGAAUGAAAUUACAAGUGGGGCACUUUCCGUUGAUUUGUUCAUCAACGUAUCGUCCGGAUGAGAGUUUAUUGUGUACUGGGUUGAUUAUUAGGUACUAUGGAAUGAGUGUCCAACAGGAAUUGUGUUGAAGGAUUGUCACGUGAUCCUGUGCAAAUGGAGGAAGAGAUGGAAGCUCGAAUUAGAAGGAUUUAAGGUUAUCUUUGCAGUUGCGUCUGAGCUUAAAACUGAUGUAUAAAUUUUAGUUUAUGUUCGGGAUGUUAUGUAUUAUUACAACAUUUAAGUUUUGAAUAUAAAUUUUAAUUUUUAGGGUGAAUUUUUGGGAUGUUACACACUCGGUACUGCGUCGUCGUUUUCAUGCUUUCUCUGUUUUCUUCAAGCCUCAUAUUCGCUACUCUUUAAACAUUUUAUCUUAUAUUUCUUGUUUAAAUCUCAAAUGAAACUUUUUAUCUGUGCAA